rnacentral:rRNA from 1 species
CCUACGGGAGGCAGCAGUGAGGAAUAUUGGUCAAUGGCCGGAAGGCUGAACCAGCCAUGCCGCGUGAAGGUCAGUGCCCUAUGGGCGUUAAACUUCUUUUGUGCGGGAGCAAUAAUGGUCACGUGUGGCCAGACGAGAGUACCGUACGAAUAAGCAUCGGCCAACUCCGUGCCAGCAGCCGCGGUAAUACGGGGGAUGCAAGCGUUAUCCGGAUUUAUUGGGUUUAAAGGGUGCGUAGGCUGUGAGGUAAGUCAGCGGGGAAAUGCCCCCGCUCAACGGGGUGAAGUGCCAUUGAUACUGCCUUGCUGGAAUGCAGAUGCGGUGGGAGGAAUGUGUGGUGUAGCGGUGAAAUGCAUAGAUAUCACACAGAACACCGAUUGCGAAGGCAUCUCACGAAUCCGCGAUUGACGCUGAUGCACGAAAGCGUGGGUAUCAAACAGGAUUAGAUACCCUUGUAGUC